CUCUAUCGGAGUGUGGUCAGUGUAGAUGUGUGGAUGCACCGGGGUGUGAGAGAGAGGCUGUUUGGUGGUGUUUUGGGUGUUCCAGACAAGGCAGGAAGCAGCACUCAUCCUGUACCACCUUCUGCUCUUAGUUCGGGCAGGAAAUACCACGGCGACCCACCGCUGAUAAGACCAAGGAGCUGAGGGACGGCCACAUGGACAUGAGCCCUAGGACCAUGCCCCAGGACUACCUGACAUGAUGACUCCUUGCUGUCCCCAGUCCACCUGGCCAUGCUGCUGCUCCAGUUUCAACUGGCCUGGGCCCUAGGACCAUGUCCCAGGACUACCUGACAUGAUGACUCCUUGCUGUCCCCAGUCCACCUGGCCAUGCUGCUGCUCCAGUUUCAACUGUUCUGCCUUACUAUUAUUCAACCAUGCUGGUCAUUUAUGAACAUUUGAACAUCUUGGCCACGUUCUGUUAUAAUCUCCACCCGGCACAGCCAGAAGAGGACUGGCCACCCCACAUAUGCUCUCUCUAAUUCUCUCUUUCUUUCUCUCUCUCGGAGGACCUGAGCCCUAGGACCGUGCCCCAGGACUACCUGACAUGAUGACUCCUUGCUGUCCCCAGUCCACCUGACUGUGCUGCUGCUCCAGUUUCAACUGUUCUGCCUUAUUAUUAUUCGACCAUGCUGGUCAUUUAUGAACAUUUGAACAUCUUGGUCAUGUUCUGUUAUAAUCUCUACCCGGCACAGCCAGAAGAGGACUGGCCACCCCACAUAGCCUGGUUCCUCUCUAGGUUUCUUCCUAGGUUUUGGCCUUUCUAGGGAGUUUUUCCUAGCCACCGUGCUUUUACACCUGCAUUGUUUGCUGUUUGGGGUUUUAGGCUGGGUUUCUGUACAGCACUUUGAGAUAUCAGCUGAUGUACGAAGGGCUAUAUAAAUAAAUUUGAUUUGAUUUGAA